UCGGGAAUCUUCCGCAAUGGGCGAAAGCCUGACGGAGCGACGCCGCGUGAGUGAUGAAGGCCUUCGGGUUGUAAAGCUCUUUCGGCGGGGACGAAAAGGUUCGUGACAACACCACGGACUAAUGACGGUACUCGCAGAAGAAGAACCGGCGAACUACGUGCCAGCAGCCGCGGUAAUACGUAGGGUGCAGGCGUUAAUCGGAAUUACUGGGCGUAAAGCGUGCGCAGGCGGCUCCUUAAGUCAGAUGUGAAAUCCCCGGGCUUAACCUGGGAACUGCGUUUGAAACUGGGGAGCUCGAGUGUGGAAGAGGGGGGUGGAAUUCCAGGUGUAGCAGUGAAAUGCGUAGAGAUCUGGAGGAACACCGAUGGCGAAGGCAGCCCCCUGGGCUAACACUGACGCUCAUGCACGAAAGCGUGGGGAGCAAA
rnacentral:rRNA from 1 species